rnacentral:rRNA from 1 species
AACGUAGGAGACAAACGUUAUCCGGAGUUACUGGGCGUAAAGGGCGUGUAGGCGGUAUGUUAAGUCUGGCGUGAAAGCUCUCGGCUAAACCGGGAGAGGUCGUUGGAUACUGGCAAACUAGAGGAUGGUAGAGGCGUGUGGAAUUCCGGGUGUAGUGGUGAAAUGCGUAGAGAUCCGGAGGAACACCGGUGGCGAAGGCGGGUCUCUGGGCCGAUACUGACGCUGAGGAGCGAAAGCGUGGGGAGCGAACAGG